GUUAGGUUUUUAAGAAAAAGUUAGUUUUGGUAUAAGUUAGGUUUUUUAGAAAAAGUUAGUUUUGGUAUAAGUUAGGUUUUUAAGAAAAAGUUAGAUUUUUAAGAAAAAGUUAGGGUUUUAAGAAA